CCAAUAGCGUAUAUUAAGGUUGCUGCGGUUAAAAAGCUCGUAGUUGAAUUUCGGGAUUGAUGCAUCGGUCGUGCCUUAAGGGGUAUGAACUGGUGUGGUCGAUUUCUUACCUUCUGGUGAAUUGUGAUGUCCUCCUUAAUUGGGUGUUUCAAUGAACUAGGACUUUUUACUUUGAAAAAAUUAGAGUGUUUAAAGCAGGCAAUAUUUGCUCGAAUACAUUAGCAUGGAAUAAUAGAAUAGGACGGCAUGGUUCUAUUUUGUUGGUUUCUAGGAUCACCGUAAUGAUUAAUAGGGAUAGUUGGGGGCAUUAGUAUUCAAUUGUCAGAGGUGAAAUUCUUGGAUUUAUUGAAGACUAACUACUGCGAAAGCAUUUGCCAAGGAUGUUUUCAUUAAUCAAGAACGAAAGUUAGGGGAUCGAAGACGAUCAGAUACCGUCGUAGUCUUAACCAUAAACUAUGCCGACUAGGAAUCAGACGAUGUUAAUUUUUUAAUGACUCGUUUGGCACCUUACG
rnacentral:rRNA from 1 species